rnacentral:rRNA from 2 species
UGGGGAAUAUUGCACAAUGGGCGGAAGCCUGAUGCAGCGACGCCGCGUGGGGGAUGACGGCCUUCGGGUUGUAAACUCCUUUCACCAUCGACGAAGGUUUUCUGACGGUAGAUGGAGAAGAAGCACCGGCUAACUACGUGACAGCAGCCGCGGUAAUACGUAGGGUGCGAGCGUUGUCCGGAAUUACUGGGCGUAAAGAGCUCGUAGGUGGUUUGUCGCGUCGUCUGUGAAAUUCCGGGGCUUAACUCCGGGCGUGCAGGCGAUACGGGCAUAACUUGAGUACUGUAGGGGAGACUGGAAUUCCUGGUGUAGCGGUGAAAUGCGCAGAUAUCAGGAGGAACACCGGUGGCGAAGGCGGGUCUCUGGGCAGUAACUGACGCUGAGGAGCGAAAGCAUGGGUAGCGAACAGG